AAUUAUUGAUUAAAAAGGUCGAACGCGCACACAUUUCAUUAUAGAGAAGUGAUAAAAUGAUUAGUUUUAAAGAAAUAGUGUCUGUGUUAAGUGUUUAGAGGUAAUCAAAAAUGUAUGGAGGGACGGUCGGAACAUCCACCUUAACAUUAACAUAGUUUAUGAAG